AUUGAACGCUGGCGGCAUGCCUUACACAUGCAAGUCGAACGGCAGCACGGGAGCAAUCCUGGUGGCGAGCGGCGAACGGGUGAGUAAUAUAUCGGAACGUGCCCAGUAGUGGGGGAUAGCCCGGCGAAAGCCGGAUUAAUACCGCAUACGACCUGAGGGUGAAAGCGGGGGAUCGCAAGACCUCGCGCUAUUGGAGCGGCCGAUAGCAGAUUAGCUUGUUGGUGGGGUAAAAGCCUACCAAGGCGACGAUCUGUAGCUGGUCUGAGAGGACGACCAGCCACACUGGGACUGAGACACGGCCCAGACUCCUACGGGAGGCAGCAGUGGGGAAUUUUGGACAAUGGGCGCAAGCCUGAUCCAGCCAUGCCGCGUGCGGGAAGAAGGCCUUCGGGUUGUAAACCGCUUUUGUCAGGGAAGAAACGGCUCUUGAUAAUACCGAGAGCUAAUGACGGUACCUGAAGAAUAAGCACCGGCUAACUACGUGCCAGCAGCCGCCGUAA
rnacentral:rRNA from 1 species